GAUGAACGCUGGCGGCGUGCCUAAUACAUGCAAGUCGAGCGAACAGACGAGGAGCUUGCUCCUCUGACGUUAGCGGCGGACGGGUGAGUAACACGUGGAUAACCUACCUAUAAGACUGGGAUAACUUCGGGAAACCGGAGCUAAUACCGGAUAAUAUAUUGAACCGCAUGGUUCAAUAGUGAAAUACGGUUUUGCUGUCACUUAUAGAUGGAUCCGCGCCGCAUUAGCUAGUUGGUAAGGUAACGGCUUACCAAGGCAACGAUGCGUAGCCGACCUGAGAGGGUGAUCGGCCACACUGGAACUGAGACACGGUCCAGACUCCUACGGGAGGCAGCAGUAGGGAACCUUCCGCAAUGGGCGAAAGCCUGACGGAGCAACGCCGCGUGAGUGAUGAAGGUCUUCGGAUCGUAAAACUCUGUUAUUAGGGAAGAACAAAUGUGUAAGUAACUAUGCACGUCUUGACGGUACCUAAUCAGAAAGCCACGGCUAACUACGUG
rnacentral:rRNA from 1 species